rnacentral:lncRNA from 1 species
UUUAUAUUCAUUUUUUUUUCCUGAUCUUCAACAUAACAAGACCAAUCAAUCAUACUCUGAUCAUUCUGGGUACCUGUUGAAAUAGACUGGAAGAUGGAGAGAUCUUGGACAAGAAGGUCUUCUGUAACGACUUUGUUAAUUUAACCCAUAAUACGGGUGUCUUCUUGUAUGAUGACCUAUUGGCAAUUGUAUCACUUCGCUAUCAAACUAUACAUGUUCUUCAGAUAAGAGAUGCUGGUAACCUUGUUGAUGUACGGGCUAUUGGGGAAUUCUGCCGUGAAGAUGACCAGCUUUUUCUCAAUUCCAAUGCUCAGGUCAGCAAGNUUUUUAUAAAUAUUUCAUUAACAUAAUAUUAAAAAUAUUAAUUUUGUAGAGAUAACUUUUCUGACAUGAAAAAUUCGUUUCUUCGUUUCCAGGGUGAACCUUUACGGUUUGUGGACACGCUUUAAUGUACAGAAGCAGCAAUAUUGUGGCUAGGAUUUUUAAUCGUCAGAUUUGCACUCCUCCUCCUGGCACUAGUGUAAUUUAUUUUCACUACCAAUAAUAUUUGUUGUUGUUUUUUCUGAGAAUUAUUACAUGUGUUGUCUUCUUUAGCCACUUUUUAGGGUUUAGGGGGGGGGGGGGGAGUGUUAAGAAGAAAUGGUACAGGGUUGUAAGUUGUAAUUGUAGGAAAUGUGAACAUUCCCCGGUGAACUAUCAAAAACAUGAUUGAGGGAAGAUAAACAAGGUUUUGCUUUGUCUACACUUUUUGUAUUUAGAGAGGUUGGACAGUUUCUUUGAUUCUGGUUGUAUUAUGCAGUGUCAAGUAUAACCUGAUGUUUUUAAAGUUGAAGCUUGAAAUGCAAAAGAUAAAUAUGAUGUGCCAAUUUGGAAGAUUUGCUUUCACUUUUUGAAAUUUGUUGUCUUGUUCCUCUGUUGAAGGAACCUGAAUCGAAUUUAAUUUUUGCAGGUGUAAUUUAAUUCUUGCAGGUUCAUCAUGCUCGGUGUUUCUAUGAAAAUUUGGUGCCAAGUUACACUAUUUAUGAGGUUGAGUGCCCAGACCACUUGUUUCGUAAAUUCACUGAUGAUGGACAGUACCUUAUAAGUUUCAGCAGAAAUUAUCAGGAGCUGAUCGUUUAUAGGCCCAGAUGGCUUUCGUUUUCAUGCAAAGAUGAAGAUUGCGAUAAACAUGAUUUGCCAUCUAGAGCUAAAAGAUUUGACAGUUUUUUCACCCAACUAUAUUGUGUACCACUUGCUUCUUGUAAUGAGCUUAUAUGUAAAGAUUUCUUUCUUUACUUGGAGAGCCAGCAAUUUGGACUGUUUGCUACUUCAACGCCUGCCCAAGUUUCUGAUGCACCUGCUGUAGGAGGAGCUGUCCAUGGUGUUCCUUCAAUUGAAAAGAUAACUUUCCACCUCUUGAGGUGCGUAUUCAUCAUUCUUUAUAUUCAUUUUUUUUUCCUGAUCUUCAACAUAACAAGACCAAUCAAUCAUACUCUGAUCAUUCUGGGUACCUGUUGAAAUAGACUGGAAGAUGGAGAGAUCUUGGACAAGAAGGUCUUCUGUAACGACUUUGUUAAUUUAACCCAUAAUACGGGUGUCUUCUUGUAUGAUGACCUAUUGGCAAUUGUAUCACUUCGCUAUCAAACUAUACAUGUUCUUCAGAUAAGAGAUGCUGGUAACCUUGUUGAUGUACGGGCUAUUGGGGAAUUCUGCCGUGAAGAUGACCAGCUUUUUCUCAAUUCCAAUGCUCAGGUCAGUAAGCUUUUGGUAUUGACUUUAUUUUAAUGCGUUUUGUUUAGGACACAAUUACAUAGAUUGUCAUGGACUUUGAGAAAAAAGAAAUUGUAACAUUUAGUGGAACUGGGACUUGCAACAAGAGUGCAUGGGUUCAAACUUCACAGUUCAAUCCACCCCAUUUUUUGUUCCCUUGCCUUCUCCCUCCUCUUGUGGCUUUCCAUUGGCCACCCCUUAUGCUUCAAUAGUGGGUCCUCCCUUGAACUAAACUAGUUAUUUUAAGGAUACUUAAACUUAUACAAUUCAAGGGCAUGACUUGGCUUGGCAACAAGGAUGCUGGCUUAUGACUUAGAGGUCAUGGGAUCAAAUCCUAGAAGCAACAUAUCUGCUUGUAGGGUUAAGGCCGUGUGUACUUUUACCCUCCCUAGACAUCACUCUGGGUGAUAACUCUUGUCCGUGUACAUUGGGCUGUCCUUUAAUGCUUUUACAGUUGAUUUUUUUUUUUCAAAUCAUCGGGAUGGGUAACAUCUUGGGAAUGUUUUUCAAUUCUGCUUCAGUGGUUCAAGUUAAUAAUUUUGUGGUCAUCUUUAAUUGUCACUACAUCCCAAUCAUCCCUUAUCAAUUAUGAAGCCAUUCUAGCUCAAAAUUGAUAAUUCUGAUGGUUUUGUGGCAUAUGUAAAAAGCUAAACUCACAAAAAUAUAGGCCAAAUCACCAAUCAUUCUGACAGGGC